UGGCGAGCGGCGGACGGGUGAGUAAUGCGUAGAAAUCUGCCCUUUUGUGGAGGAUAACCUGGGGAAACCCAGGCUAAUACUGCAUAAUCUCUACGGAGCAAAGCGGAGGAUCUUCGGACUUCGCGCAGAAGGAUGAGUCUACGUCUGAUUAGCUAGUUGGUGGGGUAACGGCCUACCAAGGCGACGAUCAGUAGCUGGUCUGAGAGGAUGAUCAGCCACACCGGGACUGAGACACGGCCCGG
rnacentral:rRNA from 1 species